AGUGAACGCUGGCGGUAGGCCUAACACAUGCAAGUCGAACGGCAGCACAGUAAGAGCUUGCUCUUACGGGUGGCGAGUGGCGGACGGGUGAGGAAUACAUCGGAAUCUACUUUUUCUUGGGGGAUAACGUAGGGAAACUUACGCUAAUACCGCAUACGACCUACGGGUGAAAGCAGGGGAUCUUCGGACCUUGCGCGUUUGAAUGAGCCGAUGUCGGACUAGCUAGUUGGCGGGGUAAAGGCCCACCAAGGCGACGAUCCGUAGCCGGUCUGAGAGGAUGAUCAGGCACACUGGAACUGAGACACGGUCCAGACUCCUACGGGAGGCAGCAGUAGGGAAUUUUUGGCAAUGGGCGAAAGCCUGAUCCAGCCACACCGCGUGGGUGAAGAAGGCCUUCGGGUUGUAAAGCCCUUUUGUUGGGAAAGAAAAGCAGCAGGUUAAUACCCCGCUGUUCUGACGGUACCCAAAGAAUAAGCACCGGCUAACUUCGUG
rnacentral:rRNA from 1 species